UACGGGGGGGGCAAGCGUUGUUCGGAAUUACUGGGCGUAAAGGGCUCGUAGGCGGCCAACUAAGUCAGACGUGAAAUCCCUCGGCUUAACCGGGGAACUGCGUCUGAUACUGGAUGGCUCGAGAUUGGGAGAGGGAUGCGGAAUUCCAGGUGUAGCGGUGAAACGCGUAGAUAUCUGGAGGAACACCGGUGGCGAAGGCGGCAUCCUGGACCAACACUGACGCUGAGGAGCGAAAGCCAGGGGAGCAAACGGG
rnacentral:rRNA from 1 species